rnacentral:rRNA from 1 species
AGCCCUAAGCGGGUGGUAAACUCCAUCUAAGGCUAAAUAUGACCACGAGACCGAUAGCGAACAAGUACCGUGAGGGAAAGUUGAAAAGCACUUUGAAGAGAGAGUUCAAGAGUACGUGAAACCGUUUAGGGGUAAACCUGAGAAGCCCGAAAGGUCGAAGGGAGAAAUUCAUUCGCGUUUCGACGAAGGCGUCGGACGGUCGCGUGACGGGAAGCUUUACGGUUUUCCGCGCCUUCCGUUCCUCGAACCGGCGGCGAACGCGUGCACUUUUCUCCUGGUAGGACGUCGCGAUCCGUUGGGUGUCGGUCUACGGCUCGCGGUGGAGCCCGUUCGUCGUUUUUACGAACGCACGAGCGGACCCGCGUGUCCCGAUCGACUCGCCCGACGGUAUACGACAGGUUCAAGGCCGCUCUGUUUUGGAGCGUUCGGCUCGUGGCAAGCGCGUCAGAUGCGUGUCGGCGAUCGGACCCAGUGCCGAUUCUGACCUCUGAUGACUGUUGGCUACGAAGUUCUCGAACUGACCUUAAACCGAUCUGCGACGCUAUAGCUUUGGGUACUUUCAGGACCCGUCUU